UGCCCAGCAACGCCUAUCCCUACCUCUUCGCGGUACUGACCGGGGUACGAGUAACCUUAGGGAAGAUCGGCUAACCAACCCCCGGUGGGAACUUUGGUCGUAUGCCGACAGGGAAGG
rnacentral:ribozyme from 1 species